rnacentral:rRNA from 1 species
UGGGGAAUUUUGGACAAUGGGGGGAAACCCCUGAUCCAGCCAUCCCGCGUGUGCGAUGAAGGCCUUCGGGUUGUAAAGCACUUUUGGCAGGAAAGAAACGUCGCGGGUUAAUACCCCGCGAAACUGACGGUACCUGCAGAAUAAGCACCGGCUAACUACGUGCCAGCAGCCGCGGUAAUACGUAGGGUGCAAGCGUUAAUCGGAAUUACUGGGCGUAAAGCGUGCGCAGGCGGUUCGGAAAGAAAGAUGUGAAAUCCCAGAGCUUAACUUUGGAACUGCAUUUUUAACUACCGGGCUAGAGUGUGUCAGAGGGAGGUGGAAUUCCGCGUGUAGCAUGAAAUGCGUAGAUAUGCGGAGGAACACCGAUGGCGAAGGCAGCCUCCUGGGAUAACACUGACGCUCAUGCACGAAAGGCGUGGGGAGCAAACAGGAUUAGAUACCCUGGUAGUCCACGCCCUAAACGAUGUCAACUAGCUGUUGGGGCCUUCGGGCCUUGGUAGCGCAGCUAACGCGUGAAGUUGACCGCCUGGGGAGUACGGUCGCAAGAUUAAAAACUCAAAUGGAAUUGACGGGGGUCAUAGCUGUUUUCCU